rnacentral:rRNA from 3 species
UGGGGAAUCUUCCGCAAUGGGCGCAAGCCUGACGGAGCAAUGCCGCGUGAGUGAAGAAGGCCUUCGGGUUGUAAAACUCUGUCCUCAUCCAAGAGAAGGAAAGGUAGUAACUGACCUUUCCAGGACGGUAGAUGAGGAGGAAGCCCCGGCUAACUAUGUGCCAGCAGCCGCGGUAAAACAUAGGGGGCAAGCGUUGUCCGGAAUCACUGGGCGUAAAGGGCGCGCAGGCGGUCUGUUAAGUCAGAUGUGAAAGGUUAGGGCUCAACCCUGAACGUGCAUCUGAUACUGGCAGACUUGAGUAUGGAAGAGGUAAGUGGAAUUCCUAGUGUAGCGGUGAAAUGCGUAGAUAUUAGGAGGAACACCAGUGGCGAAGGCGACUUACUGGGCCAUAACUGACGCUGAGGCGCGAAAGCGUGGGGAGCAAACAGG